rnacentral:lncRNA from 10 species
CCGCCCGCCUCGGCCUCCCAAAGUGCUGGGAUUACAGGCGUGAGCCACUGCACUCGGCCGAGCCUGGUUUUCUACCUAUGCUACCUACUUUCUCCAAGGAUGCCCUGCUCUGGAAAUCUUCAAGGGAAUGCCUUUUACCUUAAAGUAGCUCCCCUUCCUCCCUGUCAGGCAUCUUUGCAUAACUCUGAAGAGUUUUGAAGAUGCAAAGUCCUUCCUCUCUGCCCAUUCAGGGAAGCUUCUGGCCGCCCUCGGGGCUGGCAAUGAGGGCAUCCGCGGAUGGCACCUGGCCCACUCAUCAAAUGGCAGCUACCCUCUCUCGUGAUGAUUGUCAGCAUCUAGUGUGAAAGAUGGGAAGAGCCUACAUCAAUUCUUUUUUUUUUUUUUCUUUAAGAGAUGUAAUUGCCCAGGCUGGUCUUGAACUCCUAGACUCAAGCCAUCUGCCUGCCUCAGCCUCCUAAAAUGCUGGGAUUACAGGUGUGUGCCCCCAAGCCCAGCCUGCACUGGAUUCUCAUUCUGAUGUUACAAGGUGGAUGGGGCCAUGAUAGAGGUUUGAGCCAGCAGGGAGGGUGUGGCACGAGGCCUGAUGGCUUCUUGGAGGAGGAGGUGUUUGAACUAGGCCAUCGGAGACAGAACAGAUUCACUGGGAAAGUAGCUGUGUGUGCCAGGUGCACCAGCCGGGCUGCCAAGUGCUGAUUUGUAGAAAUUCUCUGGGGGGUUCUCUGAGUGAGGAAGAAGGAUCCAUGGGGCCUGGGCAAGGCUAGAAGUGAUAGCCUGGGAAACAGUCUCAGGAGUACAGUUUCUUCCUUUUUCUCUUACUUGUUGAAGCCUAAUUUACAUAUUAUCAAAUGCACCAGUCGCAAUGAGUUUUAAAAAUGUUUUGGCAGCUUUAUGUAAGUAUAACUGACAGAUAACCCACACUCAUUCAAAAUGUACAAUUUGACCAGGCACGGCAGCUCAUGCCUGUAAUCCCAAUACUUUAGGAGGCCGAGACAGGUGGAUCACCUGAGGUCGGGAGUUUGAGACCAGCCUGGCCAAUAUGGUGAAACCCCGUCUUUACUAAAAAUACAAAAAUUAGCCAGGCG